rnacentral:lncRNA from 1 species
GAGGCGAUACAAGAAAGACGUUAAAUAGAGAUGUUUUGAUAAAAAUCUUAAUAUUGAAGAAAUGCUCGUAAAACAUCCUGAUGACGUUCCAUAAGUUCAAUUACGUCGGUUGAUCAAGUAUUAGAAGCUUCCAACUGUUCAAGUGAGACUAAAAUAAUGCAUACGUACUCUUGGCAUAUUUUGCAUAUUUAAUUUCUAUUCUCUUUUUAGAAAUUAAGCAAGGUAAAUUCUCAAAGUAGAAAAAAAUAAAAGUGGGGACAUCGAAUG